rnacentral:rRNA from 1 species
UAGGGAAUCUUCGGCAAUGGGGGCAACCCUGACCGAGCAACGCCGCGUGAGUGAAGAAGGUUUUCGGAUCGUAAAGCUCUGUUGUAAGAGAAGAACGUGUGUGAGAGUGGAAAGUUCACACAGUGACGGUAACUUACAAGAAAGGGACGGCUAACUACGUGCAAGCAGCCGCGGUAAUACGUAGGUCCCGAGCGUUGUCCGGAUUUAUUGGGCGUAAAGCGAGCGCAGGCGGUUUAAUAAGUCUGAAGUUAAAGGCAGUGGCUUAACCAUUGUUCGCUUUGGAAACUGUUAAACUUGAGUGCAGAAGGGGAGAGUGGAAUUCCAUGUGUAGCGGUGAAAUGCGUAGAUAUAUGGAGGAACACCGGUGGCGAAAGCGGCUCUCUGGUCUGUAACUGACGCUGAGGCUCGAAAGCGUGGGGAGCAAACAGG